ACAGGGAAUUGAGAUGCUCUCUCUUGGAUCAUUCAAGACUGGUGUCAUCCUUUUGGCAGGACUAUUUUUUAUGAUAUCUUCUGGGUUUUCUUCACUCCGGUUAUGGUUAGUGUUGCCAAAUCCUUUGAUGCUCCAAUAAAGCUUUUAUUCCCUACGGGUGAUGCUCUAAGACCCUAUUCUAUGCUUGGCCUAGGUGACAUUGUCAUUCCCG